UACGUAGGGUGCGAGCGUUGUCCGGAAUUAUUGGGCGUAAAGAGCUUGUAGGCGGUUGUCGCGUCUGCUGUGAAAUCCGGGCGUCAACCCCGGACUUGCAGUGGGUACGGGCAGACUGGAGUGUGGUAGGGGAGACGUGGAAUUCCUGGUGUAGCGGUGGAAUGCGCAGAUAUCAGGAGGAACACCGAUGGCGAAGGCAGGUCUCUGGGCCACUACUGACGCUGAGGAGCGAAAGCGUGGGGAGCGAACAGG
rnacentral:rRNA from 1 species